rnacentral:rRNA from 1 species
UACGGAGGAUGCAAGCGUUAUCCGGAUUUAUUGGGUUUAAAGGGUGCGUAGGCGGCCGAGUAAGUCAGCGGUGAAAUUUUGCAGCUUAACUGUAACAGUGCCGUUGAUACUGCAUGGCUAGGAUUUGGUUGCUGUGGGUGGAAUGUGUGGUGUAGCGGUGAAAUGCUUAGAUAUCACACAGAAUAUCAAUUGCGAAGGCAGCUCACAAAGCCAAGAUUGACGCUGAGGCACGAAAGUGUGGGGAUCAAA